ACUUAACCGCUGCUCCCCCAGGCCGGGCCUUCUCCAAGUGCUUUUUUAAAGAGCUUUUGAAAAUAAACUCAUCCUCCUAUCCCAAUGAUUUGCAACCACUGAGAUGAUUCUAAGGGAUGUACCUUGAGUUCUGACUGUUCAGUUGUGUGUGAGUCAAACCUGCUAAGCAGUUUCUGGAGUGCCAAGGCAAAGGGUGCCCAAGCCCUAUCUAAAAACCGCGUGACAGGUCAGAAAGCAGAUGCCAGAAAGCCCCAGGGCAUUUCCCAGAAGGAACGGCUGCUCUGAGUGGCGUGCCUUCUUGGUCCUGCAAACUCCUCACCUACAAGGGGCUACCGAAGAUUGAAGCCAAGAGAGUAAGUCACAAUGAGGAGUUCCAUUUAUGGCGAGCCUGGGUAAGCUCCAACUAGGCUGAUCCUCCUGCAGACGGUAGCUAUUAACCUCUGCACACACACACACAAAAUUUACCCAAAGCACUGGAGAAUGAAAAAAGCAGGCAGAUUUUGGAGGGGAGUCAACCCUUUGAAGACGAGAAUGGCACCAGAUGGGUUUCUCGUUUUUUCGUAGCUUUCAGCCCAUGGCAGUCAGGAGCAUUUGAGAGUGUCUAACCCUCCAAUAGAAAACUUGCAGUAUUUGUGGCCUGAAAACCCAGAGGGCAGAGUCGAGGGCAACCACAGCCACUGGAAAGUGAGGGGGAAAUCCCGGGAAGGCGAGAGUCAGAGAGAAGAGGAGCCACAGGUUCUUUACAAACUCUGUCUAAAUCCCUGGCUGGCCUCCAGGUCACACACAUAGGGCACAGACUACAAGCAGGUCCGCCAAGGACGAAAGAAAUGAACUGAUGUUUGAGCUGCUGGCGCAAAGAUGAAGUUGUGUUUUGAGUCCGACCAAGUUAAUUACCUGACAAACCAACAAGAAUCAGUGCUUUUUAGAGGAAUAUAGCAGAAUCCAGAGUCUCCAGAACAUAACUUUCACGAUGCAGUCCCAAAUUAUUUGACACAUGAAGAGAAGGAAAAUGUGAUCCAUUUUUAAGAGAAAAGAGACUCCACAGAGACUGACCCUGGGAUGACCACAUAAUUUUAAAGCAAGGAUUAUAGCAAUGCUUUUUGCUGAAAAGGAAAAUAAGUUUGUAAUGAAGGAGAAGAUAGAAAAUUUUGAUAGAGGAGUGGAAACUAUAAAAAAGAACCAAAUGGAAAUUCCAAAACUAUAAAAUACAAUAUCUGAAAUUUUAAAAAGUCACUAGAUCUCAAAAGAUCAUGAAGCGAGGGUGCCAGGGACCAUUGACAAAAGGUUUAUGAAAGCAAAAUAGGGUUUUGGAACCAGGAACACAGAGAAUAAGGAGAGGGAAGUUUGGCAGAAAUGGGGCAGAUAUGUGUGGUAGCUUUUAGAACAUUCAACAGUCUUGUUUCUUUUAAACAAGUCUUGUUCCUGUUUAAAAUAUAACGCAAUUUUAUUAUAGAGAUUUUGAAAAUAUUGAUAAGGAAGCAAACAUCAGUUGGGAUCCUACCACACAGAGAAUUCACUGUUAACAUUUCGAUAUUUAUUCUUCCAGCUUACUAACAUACACACAAUUUUUAUUUUAAUAAAAUAAGAUCACAGUCUAUAUUCUGUUUGAAAUCUGCCUUUUGAUUUUUAAAACCCAUCCUGAACAUCUUUCCAUGCCGCUAAAUAUUUUUUUGCAGCAUCAUUUUUGAUGACGGCAUACCGCUCAUGCUAUGACUGGAUUGUAAUUCUAUAUUAAGUAUAUUAACCUCAUAUUUUCCAUACAGAUCACAAGUAUUUUUCUCGGCUUUUAUUUUUAACUUUACAGUGAGCUUGCCCUUUCAUCCGUUGGGUAUAGUCCAAUAAAACCCAGCCGCCAUUCUCUGGGUAGCCAUCUGAUAAACGGCGUUUCCCAUGUGGGAGCCCAUGUCUGUUCUGGUCUUCAUUGUAUCGACAAUGCCUAGCAUAGCGCCUGGAGUGAAAUAGCUACUCAAUAAAUGUGUGUUGGCCGAUCAACUAAUUUCUGACCUGUGUCCCUGAGGGGAAGGCCCAGGGUACCAUCACUCAUUGCUGACUUCCAUUUUUGCUAUGUAGCUAGUCUGUUUUCGGUCUAGUAAUUCAUGCCCUUUGACCCUUCUAGAAUCUAUCCCGAGAAUUUUCCAGAGAUGCGAGUAAAGAUUUACAUACAAGGAUGUCCAUCCCAGUUUCAUUUACAAUAGUGAAAAAAUUGGAAACCAUUUCUAGCAACACGGAAAUGAUAUGUAAUUACAUGAUAGAGAAACACGAAUAUGGGGGUUUGGAAUGCUUUUUGGUGAUGUGAGAAAAUCUUAUGAUUCAAUGGCAUGUGAAAAACCAAGAGUGUAAAAUUACAUGUCCGAUUUCCCAACUCUGUUAAGGCUGGCAGGAAAUACACCAAAAAAAUGUUAAAAAGUGGUUUGUGAGUUGAGAAUGCUUUCAGCUCCAAGAAACUGAAAACUUGACUUAGGGUGCCUUAAACAUAUAGGAGUUUGUUUUUCACUCGUAAGUUUUCUGAGAGUAUUAGGGCCUGGCGUCAGCAGCUUGGUGAUGUCAGGGCUGGCAUCUCUGUGAUUCUCUUUUCUUUAUGGUCACAAGAUGGCUGCUGCAGCUCCAGGCAUCAUGUCCACAUUUGAGACAGGAGGGAGGAAAUGGAGUAGCAUGGUGCCUGCAGUGUCUGCCCCUUUUAUCAGAAACAUCAAGAGUCUACCAUGGUGCCCCAGCAGAUUUCUGCUUAGGUCUCUGACAAGAAACGUGUCCUGUGGCUGCCCUGCCUACAAGAAAGCCUGGGAAAAGGGUCCCCAGGGUCCUGUGUUUGCUGAUGGGCUCCACCAGAUAAGAGAGACAGAGUUCCUGGUACCCCCACGCAGGAUACAGGGAUCAUGCUAGACCAACUGAGAUCUUCCUCAGGACGAGCCAGUAGAAGAAUACCACAAAGAGCAAGUGGGAAUUGUAGCCUUCUUUUACAGAUGGGAAAGUGAGGCCCAGAGCAAGGACAAGAAUCGCUCGCAAUCACACAGCGAGUGUGUGGCUUCAAACCCAGAAGGAAAUUGGAGGGCAGUGAAAUGCCCAGCUCUGUAUGGAGAUCCAUCAAGCAAGGUCAACCAGGGUCGGUCACGCCAGGCAGAGGCCCCGAGCUGGAAGAGGUUCUGAAGGUCA